GACGAACGCUGGCGGCGUGCUUAACACAUGCAAGUGGAGCGACGAACCGGGGCUUGCCCCGGGGCAGAGCCGCGAACGGGUGAGUAACACGUGGGUAACCCACCCCGAUGACCGGGACAACCCGAGGAAACUCGGGCUAAUACCGGAUGUGCUCCUUGUCCUUGAGGACAAGGCGUAAAGAUAGCUUCGGCCUUCGCAUCGGGACGGGCCCGCGGCCCAUUAGCUUGUUGGUGGGGUAACGGCCUACCAAGGCGACGAUGGGUAGCUGGUCUGGGCGGACGGUCAGCCACACUGGGACUGAGACACGGCCCAGACUCCUACGGGAGGCAGCAGUGGGGAAUCUUGCACAAUGCGCGAAAGCGUGAUGCAGCAACGCCGCGUGGGGGAAGAAGGCCUUCGGGUUGUAAACCCCUUUCAGUUGGGACGAAGCUUCGCCGGUGAAUAGCCGGCUGGAGUGACGGUACCUUCACAAGAAGCCCCGGCUAACUACGUGCCAGCAGCCGCAGUAACAC
rnacentral:rRNA from 1 species